rnacentral:ncRNA from 1 species
UAAUUGAAGAGUUUGAUCAUGGCUCAGAUUGAACGCUGGCGGCAGGCCUAACACAUGCAAGUCGAACGGUAGCACAGAGGAGCUUGCUCCUUGGGUGACGAGUGGCGGACGGGUGAGUAAUGUCUGGGAAACUGCCCGAUGGAGGGGGAUAACUACUGGAAACGGUAGCUAAUACCGCAUAACGUC